CAACAGCUGGAACUACAAGCAUGUGCCACCAUGCCAGGAUAGACUACAUGAAGGAUUUUUAAGAAAUUUUGUAUUCGUGACUCCACAAUCCCUUUAGAAGGGCUGCUUGAUGAAGAAAUAGAGCAGGGAAUCUACAGAGGAAGAUUGUGACAUAAGAAUUAUACUCAAUGGAGAAAUGCAUUCAAGAGCCAAGAGUACUAUUGUGUAUGACUCUGAGG